rnacentral:rRNA from 1 species
GAUGAACGCUGGCGGCGUGCCUAAUACAUGCAAGUCGAGCGAACAGACGAGGAGCUUGCUCCCCUGACGUUAGCGGCGGACGGGUGAGUAACACGUGGAUAACCUACCUAUAAGACUGGGAUAACUUCGGGAAACCGGAGCUAAUACCGGAUAAUAUAUUGAACCGCAUGGUUCAAUAGUGAAAGACGGUUUUGCUGUCACUUAUAGAUGGAUCCGCGCCGCAUUAGCUAGUUGGUAAGGUAACGGCUUACCAAGGCAACGAUGCGUAGCCGACCUGAGAGGGUGAUCGGCCACACUGGAACUGAGACACGGUCCAGACACCUACGGGAGGCAGCAGUAGGGAAUCUUCCGCAAUGGGCGAAAGCCUGACGGAGCAACGCCGCGUGAGUGAUGAAGGUCUUCGGAUCGUAAAACUCUGUUAUUAGGGAAGAACAAAUGUGUAAGUAACUAUGCACGUCUUGACGGUACCUAAUCAGAAAGCCACGGCUAACUACGUG